GUUGACUGCUGGCAGUUUUGACUGCAUGUGCUCGCUCUCCUAGUCCAAUUUACACCUGUGCACUUAGUUUUGAAGGCAGGAUUAAAUCUGCUUUCGAAAUCCACAAACUCUUGUUUUAAAAUAUUGGAUGUUUGUCUGCCGUAUGGCGAAAUGAAAUACAACUUUUAACAACGGAUCUCUUGGCUCUCGCAUCGAUGAAGAACGCAGCGAAAUGCGAUAAGUAAUGUGAAUUGCAGAAUUCAGUGAAUCAUCGAAUCUUUGAACGCACCUUGCGCUCCCUGGUAUUCCGGGGAGCACGCCUGUUCGAGUGUCAUGAAACUGUCAAGCAAGAUAGAUUUGUUUUCUAUCUCUGUUUGGAUUUGGACUCUGCUGCGUCAAUGCGGCUAGUCUUAAAUAUAUUAGCUGGUCCUAGUGAAGGUUUGGUUCUACUCAGCAUGAUAAUUAUCUGGUGUUGAGGACAGUCUCAGGACUGGCCAGACUCUCCUCUGGAUUGCUUCUAAUUGUCUUUAGACAAAUUGCUCAAUAUCUGACCUCGAAUCAGGCGGGACUACCCGCUGAACUUAAGCAUA
rnacentral:rRNA from 1 species